UACGUAGGGUGCGAGCGUUAAUCGGAAUUACUGGGCGUAAAGCGCGCGCAGGCGGUCUUCCAAGUCAGUGGUGAAAGCCCGGAGCUCAACUCCGGAACUGCCAUUGAAACUGUAAGACUUGAGGAUGAGAGAGGUGAGUGGAAUUCCCAGUGUAGAGGUGAAAUUCGUAGUUAUUGGGAAGAACACCGGUGGCGAAGGCGGCUCACUGGCUCAUAUCUGACGCUCAGGCGCGACAGCGUGGGGAUCAAACAGG
rnacentral:rRNA from 1 species